rnacentral:lncRNA from 1 species
GUCAAGGACUCAAAAUAAUUUAUGAAUUGACAAUAUAUAGAAAAUAUUACAUGCCUUUUCAAUAUCAUGCUCAUGUCAACCGGAAACAACAAAAUGUGAUAGCUCUGCACAUGGGCUUAGGGUUGAUAUUGAAAACACCAUAUCAUAUAUAGACUUAUUACAGAUGUUUUUCUAAUGGGGUUUGAGAAAGCCUAUGCAACAGAAAGAAUACUUUGAUUGCAUCACAUAUAAACAUCUCACUUGUAUUUACUACUAUAAUAAAGUACAAGAAAGAUAUAAAUAUUAG